GCGCUGGCUUCGGCAGCACAUAUGCUAAAAUCAGGAUGAUGCAGAGAAGAUUGGCAUGGCCCCUGCACAAAGAUGACGUACAAAUGCCUGAGUUACACACUCGUAGC